rnacentral:rRNA from 1 species
GUGAGGAAUAUUGGUCAAUGGGCGCGAGCCUGAACCAGCCAAGUAGCGUGAGGGAUGACUGCCCUAUGGGUUGUAAACCUCUUUUGCAGGGGGGUAAAGUGGUUCACGUGUGGACCAUUGCAAGUACCCUGCGAAUAAGGAUCGGCUAACUCCGUGCCAGCAGCCGCGGUAAUACGGAGGAUCCGAGCGUUAUCCGGAUUUAUUGGGUUUAAAGGGAGCGUAGGCGGGGGUUUAAGUCAGCUGUGAAAUGCCGUGGCCCAACCAUGGAACUGCAGUUGAAACUGGACCUCUUGAGAGUACAUAAGGAAGGCGGAAUUCGUGGUGUAGCGGUGAAAUGCAUAGAUAUCACGAAGAACUCCGAUUGCGAAGGCAGCUUUCCGGGGUACAUCUGACGCUGAAGCUCGAAAGUGCGGGAAUCAAACAGGAUUAGAAACCCGAGUAGUCC